UACGAAGGGGGCUAGCGUUGUUCGGAGUUACUGGGCGUAAAGGGCGCGUAGGCGGCCCUCCAAGUCGGGUGUGAAAGCCCACGGCUCAACCGUGGAAUUGCACUCGAUACUGGGGGGCUUGAGGAUGGGAGAGGAUGGUGGAAUUCCCAGUGUAGAGGUGAAAUUCGUAGAUAUUGGGAAGAACACCGGUGGCGAAGGCGGCCAUCUGGACCAUUUCUGACGCUGAGGCGCGAAAGCGUGGGGAGCAAACAGG
rnacentral:rRNA from 1 species